UACGUAGGGACCAAGCGUUGUUCGGAUUACUGGGCGUAAAGGGCGCGUUAGGCGGCAAUUCAAGUCAGCUGUGAAAUCUCCGGCUUAACUCGGAACGGUCAGCUGAUACUGCUUUGCUAGAGUGCAGAAGGGGCAAUCGGAAUUCUUGGUGUAGCGGUGAAAUGCGUAGAUAUCAAGAGGGAACACCUGAGGUGAAGACGGGUUGCUGGGCUGACACUGACGCUGAGGCGCGAAAGCUAGGGUAGCAAACGGG
rnacentral:rRNA from 1 species